UACGUAGGUGGCAAGCGUUGUCCGGAUUUACUGGGCGUAAAGCGCGCGCAGGCGGAUUGGUCAGUCCGGGGUGAAAUCUCACGGCUCAACUGUGAGCGGUCCCCGGAUACUGCCAGUCUCGAGGUGUCUAGAGGAGAGCGGAAUUCCCGGUGUAGUGGUGGAAUGCGUAGAUAUCGGGAGGAACACCGGUGGCGAAGGCGGCUUCCUGGACCGACACUGACGCUGAGGCGCGAAAGCCAGGGGAGCAAACGGG
rnacentral:rRNA from 1 species